AAUUCGCUGUGAUCUUCAGUCCCUAAAGAAAGAAUAAUUGUACAAAUGAAGGCAUGGAAGGUUUGAAGCCAGUAACAAGACUUUCACUGAAGACAGGAUCAUUGCUGAAUUCAGGAUCUCCUUUGCUGACAGGAGCAACUGCAAUAACCACCUAAGCUACUUUUUCAAGCAUUCUCCUCCAGUCCAUUUUCCACACUGUUUUGUGAGCCUUCUUUCUAAAACAUCAUUUCCUUCUGAAACCCAGGAUUCCUCAAACCUGUAGGAAACGAGUCAGACUGAUUACUCAGGUAUACAUGGGGUUAGGUCACCUGGAUGGAACAAUUUUUAGUUAUAUCCUUUAAGACUAGGGUGACCUAGUGAGAAUGCUGAGCAUAUUGGAAAACUUUUUUUGUUUGUUUGUUUUUUAGGGCAGCAUUUACAGCAUAUGGAAGUUCCCAGGCUAGGGGUCAAAUUGGAGCUACAGAUGCCAACCUAUGCCACAGCAACGUGGGAUCUGACCAUGUCCACAACCUACACUACAACCUACACCACAGCUCACAGCUACCCCAGGUCCUUAACACACUGAGCUGGACCAGGGAUUGAACCUGCAUCAUCACAGCUAUGGGUCAUAUUUGUUUCCACUGUACCACAAAGGGAACUCCCUAUCAGGAUACUUUUUUUUGUCUUUUGUCUUUUUAGGGCCACACCCACAGCAUAUAUAGGUUCCCAGGCUAGGGGUCCAAUUGGAGCUAGAGCUGCUGGUCUACACCACAGCUCAAGGCAAAGCCAGAUCCUCAACCCACUGAACAAGGCCAGGGAUCAAACCUGCAACCUCAUGGUUCCUAGUCGGAUUUGUUUCCACUGUGCAACAAUGGGAAUUCCUCAGCAUACUUUUGAUUGUAAAAGAGGGAGCUAUGAAUAAUUAACCCUAGCACAGCAAGCAUAAACAAAUUAAAAAUGGGAAAAUCAUGAAAUGCAAUUACCUUACUUAAGAGCCAAGAGAGAAGACUCUCACAGUCCCUUUACUUUCCUGAGAUUAAUCAGUUGCUCCCUUCUCUGUGCUCCCUGAGCACUUGGAAUGUUUCUCCACUUAGCAAUUUCACAUAGGAUUGUGGGUAUCCUAAUAUUUAUUUCCCCUGCUAUGUUCGUAUGUCCAAAAAGUCAAAGAUGCAUCUUUGUAUCCUGAGUACCAAGCACAAGCCACAUACUUAAAAGGUGUCUAAUAUGUCUCACGGUGGUGAAUUAAUAUUGAAGCAGAUGAUUAUGAGACUUCAGUGGAAAAAAUAAAUGCUCCAAAAAAUGGUAUUAAAACCAGAUAUAGAUUUGAUCACCCAGGUCAAUCUAUAAAAUUAUGUUGCAUAGGAACUCUAUAUGAGUAUUUAUCCCAAAGGAAAGGGAUAUACAGAUGAUCCACAUUGCCUACCCAAAAAUAGUACAUAGGAGUCCCCGCUGUGAUACACUGGGUAAGGACUCAGCCCUGCCAAAGCUCUGGCAGAGGUUGUAGCUGCAGCUGGGAUUUGAUCCCUGGACUGGAACUUUCAAAUAUAUAUAUUUGAUUUGUGCAU
ensembl:lncRNA